rnacentral:tRNA from 1 species
AGGAAGUAUUUUAAAUAAAAUUUUAAUUUUGGAGAUUAAAGAUGGAAUUAAAGAUUUCUUUCCUGAG